rnacentral:rRNA from 1 species
UAAUAGUGUAUAUUAAAGUUGUUGCAGUUAAAAAGCUCGUAGUUGAAUGUUGGUGUCGAACGAGCGGUCAGCUUCGGCUGUACUGCUCUCUCGACUCCUUCCUUCUGUGGACUACGUCGCACUUUACUGUGUGGCGCUAGGACGCAGAUCGUUUACUGUGAAAAAAUUAGAGUGUUCAAAGCAGGCCGUACGCUUGAAUACAUUAGCAUGGAAUAAUGGAAUAGGACGUCGGGCCUAUUUUGUUGGUUCUAGGACCGUCGUAAUGAUUAAUAGGGACAGUUGGGGCCGUUUAUAUUCCGUAGUCAGAGGUGAAAUUCUUGGAUUUACGGAAAAUAAACUACUGCGAAAGCAUUCGGCAAGGAUGUUUUCGUUAA